rnacentral:rRNA from 1 species
GAUGAACGCUGGCGGCGUGCCUAAUACAUGCAAGUCGAGCGAACGGACGAGAAGCUUGCUUUUCUGAUGUUAGCGGCGGACGGGUGAGUAACACGUGGAUAACCUACCUAUAAGACUGGGAUAACUUCGGGAAACCGGAGCUAAUAUCGGAUAAUAUUUUGAACCGCAUGGUUCAAAAGUGAAAGACGGUCUUGCUGUCACUUAUAGAUGGAUCCGCGCUGCAUUAGCUAGUUGGUAAGGUAACGGCUUACCAAGGCAACGAUGCAUAGCCGACCUGAGAGGGUGAUCGGCCACACUGGAACUGAGACACGGUCCAGACUCCUAAGGGAGGCAGCAGUAGGGAAUCUUCCGCAAUGGGCGAAAGCCUGACGGAGCAACGCCGCGUGAGUGAUGAAGGUCUUCGGAUCGUAAAACUCUGUUAUUAGGGAAGAACAUAUGUGUAAGUAACUGUGCACAUCUUGACGGUACCUAAUCAGAAAGCCACGGCUAACUACGUG